GCUGGGCGUGGUGGCACACGCCUGUAAUCCCAGCUACUCAGGAGGCUGAGGCAGGAGAAUUGCUUGAACCUGGGAGACAGGGGUUGCAGUGAGCCAAGAUCGUGCCACUGCACUCCAGCCUAGGUGACAGAGUGAGACUCUGUCUCCA
rnacentral:SRP_RNA from 1 species